rnacentral:rRNA from 1 species
UACGUAGGGUGCAAGCGUUGUCCGGAAUUAUUGGGCGUAAAGGGCUCGUAGGCGGUCCAUCGCGUCGGGAGUGAAAAGCUGGGGCUUAACCCCAGUCCUGCUUCCGAUACGGGUGGACUAGAGGUAGGCAGGGGAGAACGGAAUUCCUGGUGUAGCGGUGAAAUGCGUAGAUAUCCGGAGGAACACCGGUGGCGAAGGCGGCUUCCUGGACCGAUACUGACGCUGAGGCGCGAAAGCUAGGGGAGCAAACGGG